GGCGCGCAAAUUACCCAAUCCCGACACGGGGAGGUAGUGACAAUAAAUACUGAUACAGGGCUCUUUUGGGUCUUGUAAUUGGAAUGAGUACAAUUUAAAUCCCUUAACGAGGAACAAUUGGAGGGCAAGUCUGGUGCCAGCAGCCGCGGUAAUUCCAGCUCCAAUAGCGUAUAUUAAAGUUGUUGUGGUUAAAAAGCUCGUAGUUGAACCUUGGGCCUGGCUGGCCGGUCCGCCUCACCGCGUGUACUGGUCCGGCCGGGCCUUUCCCUCUGUGGAACCCCAUGCCCUUCACUGGGUGUGGCGGGGAAACAGGACUUUUACUUUGAAAAAAUUAGAGUGCUCCAGGCAGGCCUAUGCUCGAAUACAUUAGCAUGGAAUAAUAGAAUAGGACGUGUGGUUCUAUUUUGUUGGUUUCUAGGACCGCCGUAAUGAUUAAUAGGGACAGUCGGGGGCAUCAGUAUUCAAUUGUCAGAGGUGAGAUUCUUGGAUUUAUUGAAGACUAACUACUGCGAAAGCAUUUGCCAAGGAUGUUUUCAUUAAUCAGGAACGAAAGUUAGGGGAUCGAAGACGAUCAGAUACCGUCGUAGUCUUAACCAUAAACUAUGCCGACUAGGGAUCGGACGAUGUUAUUUUUUGACUCGUUCGGCACCUUACGAGAAAUCAAAAGUGCUUGGGCUCC
rnacentral:rRNA from 1 species